GUAGUUUGACUCCGUGGCUACGAGAACGACGCUGGCGGCAGGCUUAACACAUGCAAGUCGAGCGCCCCGCAAGGGGAGCGGCAGACGGGUGAGUAACGCGUGGGAAUCUACCGAGCCCUGCGGAAUAGCUCCGGGAAACUGGAAUUAAUACCGCAUACGCCCUACGGGGGAAAGAGUUUAUCGGGGUUUGAUGAGCCCGCGUUGGAUUAGCUAGUUGGUGGGGUAAAGGCCUACCAAGGCGACGAUCCAUAGCUGGUCUGAGAGGAUGAUCAGCCACGUUGGGACUGAGACACGGCCCAAACUCCUACGGGAGGCAGCAGUGGGGAGUAUUGGACAAUGGGCGCAAGCCUGAUCCAGCCAUGCCGCGUGAGUGAUGAAGGCCCUAGGGUUGUAAAGCUCUUUCAACGGUGAAGAUAAUGACGGUAACCGUAGAAGAAGCCCCGGCUAACUUCGUG
rnacentral:rRNA from 1 species